GACGUAGGGCGCGAGCGUUGUCCGGAUUUAUUGGGCGUAAAGAGCUCGUAGGCGGCUUGUUGCGUCGGCUGUGAAAACCCAUGGCUCAACCGUGGGCUUGCAGCCGAUACGGGCAGGCUAGAGUUCGGUAGGGGAGACUGGAAUUCCUGGUGUAGCGGUGAAAUGCGCAGAUAUCAGGAGGAACACCGGUGGCGAAGGCGGGUCUUUGGGCCGAUACUGACGCUGAGGAGCGAAAGCGUGGGGAGCGAACAGG
rnacentral:rRNA from 1 species